rnacentral:rRNA from 1 species
UACAGAGGUCUCAAGCGUUUGUUCGGAUUCAUUGGGCGUAAAGGGUGCGUAGGUGGCGCUGUAAGUCAGGUGUGAAAUUUCGGAGCUUAACUCCGAAACUGCAUUUGAUACUGCGGUGCUCGAGGACUGGAGAGGAGACUGGAAUUUACGGUGUAGCAGUGAAAUGCGUAGAGAUCGGGAGGAACACCAGUGGCGAAGGCGGCUACCUGGACCAGCACUGACACUGAGGCACGAAAGCGUGGGGAGCAAACAGG